rnacentral:rRNA from 1 species
GAUGAACGCUGGCGGCGUGCCUAAUACAUGCAAGUCGAGCGAACGGACGAGAAGCUUGCUUUUCUGAUGUUAGCGGCGGACGGGUGAGUAACGCGUGGAUAACCUACCUAUAAGACUGGGAUAACUUCGGGAAACCGGAGCUAAUACCGGAUAAUAUUUUGUACCGCAUGGUUCAAAAGUGAAAGGCGGUCUUGCUGUCACUUAUAGAUGGAUCCGCGCUGCAUUAGCUAGUUGGUAAGGUAACGGCUUACCAAGGCAACGAUGCAUAGCCGACCUGAGAGGGUGAUCGGCCACACUGGAACUGAGACACGGUCCAGACUCCUACGGGAGGCAGCAGUAGGGAAUCUUCCGCAAUGGGCGAAAGCCUGACGGAGCAACGCCGCGUGAGUGAUGAAGGUCUUCGGAUCGUAAAACUCUGUUAUUAGGGAAGAACAUAUGUGUAAGUAACUGUGCACAUCUUGACGGUACCUAAUCAGAAAGCCACGGCUAACUACGUG